UACGUAGGGGGCAAGCGUUGUUCGGAUUCAUUGGGCGUAAAGGGUGCGUAGGCGGCGCGGUAAGUCGGGUGUGAAAUCUCGGGGCUUAACUCCGAAACUGCAUUCGAUACUGCCGUGCUUGAGGACUGGAGAGGAGACUGGAAUUUACGGUGUAGCGGUGAAAUGCGUAGAUAUCGUAAGGAAGACCAGUGGCGAAGGCGGGUCUCUGGACAGUUCCUGACGCUGAGGCACGAAGGCCAGGGGAGCAAACGGG
rnacentral:rRNA from 1 species